UUGCGACAUCGAAUAGCGACAAAAUGAUCAACUGUAAUUCCAUCAAUCACCCCGCGCCAUUAAGGACCAGCUUUACGCUCACCUUAAGCCUGCAGCAGCGACUUCUGCCGGGACAGCUAAACUGCACUUCGCGAGCUGUCGUCUUCUCCACAAAAUUUAUUAUUUUUUUUCAUUCCCCGCAUCUGCCUUUACCAGCGCAAGUGACAUUUGUUGUAAUACCACCCGAACCUGCGUCGGUCCAGAUGCAUGCGAAUUCGAAAAUAUAUUGGGCGCCAUUUGUUACA